CCUGUCUUCUCUCUUCUCAUAACUCUCGCGAGACCCGGUUACCAUGGCAACGCUCCGCGGGUCUCGCGAGAGUUAUGAGAAGAGGAGAAGACAGGAGGAGAA